rnacentral:rRNA from 1 species
GAUGAACGCUGGCGGCGUGCCUAAUACAUGCAAGUCGAGCGAACAGACGAGGAGCUUGCUCCUUUGACGUUAGCGGCGGACGGGUGAGUAACACGUGGGUAACCUACCUAUAAGACUGGGAUAACUUCGGGAAACCGGAGCUAAUACCGGAUAAUAUUUCGAACCGCAUGGUUCGAUAGUGAAAGAUGGCUUUGCUAUCACUUAUAGAUGGACCUGCGCCGUAUUAGCUAGUUGGUAAGGUAACGGCUUACCAAGGCAACGAUACGUAGCCGACCUGAGAGGGUGAUCGGCCACACUGGAACUGAGACACGGUCCAGACUCCUACGGGAGGCAGCAGUAGGGAAUCUUCCGCAAUGGGCGAAAGCCUGACGGAGCAACGCCGCGUGAGUGAUGAAGGUCUUCGGAUCGUAAAACUCUGUUAUUAGGGAAGAACAAACGUGUAAGUAACUGUGCACGUCUUGACGGUACCUAAUCAGAAAGCCACGGCUAACUACGUGCCAGCAGCCGCGGUAAUACGUAGGUGGCAAGCGUUAUCCGGAAUUAUUGGGCGUAAAGCGCGCGUAGGCGGUUUUUUAAGUCUGAUGUGAAAGCCCACGGCUCAACCGUGGAGGGUCAUUGGAAACUGGAAAACUUGAGUGCAGAAGAGGAAAGUGGAAUUCCAUGUGUAGCGGUGAAAUGCGCAGAGAUAUGGAGGAACACCAGUGGCGAAGGCGACUUUCUGGUCUGUAACUGACGCUGAUGUGCGUAAGCGUGGGGAUCAAACAGGAUUAGAUACCCUGGUAGUCCACGCCGUAAACGAUGAGUGCUAAGUGUUAGGGGGUUUCCGCCCCUUAGUGCUGCAGCUAACGCAUUAAGCACUCCGCCUGGGGAGUACGACCGCAAGGUUGAAACUCAAAGGAAUUGACGGGGACCCGCACACGCGGUGGAGCAUGUGGUUUAAUUCGAAGCAACGCGAAGAACCUUACCAAAUCUUGACAUCCUUUGACCCUUCUAGAGAUAGAAGUUUCCCCUUCGGGGGACAAAGUGACAGGUGGUGCAUGGUUGUCGUCAGCUCGUGUCGUGAGAUGUUGGGUUAAGUCCCGCAACGAGCGCAACCCUUAAGCUUAGUUGCCAUCAUUAAGUUGGGCACUCUAAGUUGACUGCCGGUGACAAACCGGAGGAAGGUGGGGAUGACGUCAAAUCAUCAUGCCCCUUAUGAUUUGGGCUACACACGUGCUACAAUGGACAAUACAAAGGGCAGCGAAACCGCGAGGUCAAGCAAAUCCCAUAAAGUUGUUCUCAGUUCGGAUUGUAGUCUGCAACUCGACUACAUGAAGCUGGAAUCGCUAGUAAUCGUAGAUCAGCAUGCUACGGUGAAUACGUUCCCGGGUCU